GCACUCGGUGUAGAGGCAGAGCAGCAGGUCGAGCAGCGUCUCCACGCUCAGACAUCCCGCCGCCUUCUGCUCCAGCAGAAGCUCCUCCAGCCGCUUCAGACGGACCUGAGCCGACAUUCUGACCCGGGACGAACACCCGCCGCUCCCACUUAUAGUCCGACAACAACCCCCGCCACACAGUCCGAGUGAGGACCUCCCGUUCCCGGAAGUGGGUACCUGCUGCUCUGCGCCGAUGACUCACCUGUCUGUCUCUCCCUGAGGAACACGGAGGCCCUGCCUUCCUGCACCGGAAACGCUCCGGGUACAUGACGUCAAGGCACGAUUGACAGGAGCUGGCACUCUGACGUCAUCGGCGUGACGUCGUCAUAGACUUUGUUUACUGAUUUGUUUCAGUUCUCAAAAGUUUUUCCUCCUACACAGUUUUUUAUUUUAGAGACGGUUUAUACACUGUGUCCGAGUCUUAUUGUGGAAGGUCACUUCCUGCAGAAGAAUCCAAGUGAAACCUGAAGAGGAGGAGGAAGGUUUUUGUUCGUCCCAUUUGGUUCCUUGCUCCUGGUUCCAGUCCUCCAUCUUGAAGGCCGUCCCAAACCUCUUAUUUCUGCUGCAGGGAGCGAAGAUGGAGGAGCAAGGAGCAAGGAGGGAUCUCUGAGGAGCCACGAGCGAGGACACGCCAGACCAUCCUACUCUGAAGUCUGUUCACUCAGAGUAAACAGAGAGAGGGAGAGAGGCGGCACCAGGAAGCCGACAGGGCAGGUGACGUGGAGGUGAGCGAGAAGAGGAGCAAAUACUGAUGGCAGCUGACCUGCAGUCAGCGGUGUUCCUGUCCACAAGAGAGACUCAGACCCACAGAGGACGCAGAGACACUGAACCAGACCAGAUCCAGAACCAGG